AGCAGCCGCGGUAAUUCCAGCUCCAAUAGCGUAUAUUAAAGUUGUUGCAGUUAAAAAGCUCGUAGUUGAAUUUCGGGGUUCUACCGUUGGUCGGGCAAUAGUCUGUACUGGCGUGUGGAAUUUCUACCUUCUGGGGAACCAUCAUGUUAUUUAUUUAGCGUGGUGGGAAACCAGGACCUUUACCUUGAAAAAAUUAGAGUGUUCAAAGCAGGCUUACGUCUGAAUACAUUAGCAUGGAAUAAUAAAAUAGGACGGUGGUCCUGUUUUGUUGGUUUCUGAAUCACCGUAAUGAUUAAUAGGGAUAGUUGGG
rnacentral:rRNA from 1 species